rnacentral:lncRNA from 1 species
AUUAGUCAACACGAAAAACGGAUUGUACUGUAAUAUGUCUCUGAAGUCUUUAUGUACAAUAACAAUAAAGCACAAAUACCGCAAACUAUAAAAAAUACCAUCGUGAUGAAACAGACCUGUUGGGCGAGAGCUUUCUGCUAUUCCCUCUUAUAUAUAUGUGUGUGUGUGUAAAGAACAAAAUAAUAGAUUUAGAUCUUCACCUUUUUUUUUUCUGAAAAGGGCAAAAAUAAAGAAUUCUUUGAUGGACGAUAGGUUGAGGCGUGGAGCCGUGGAUUUCACAUACAUUAGAAAACACAUAAGUAGAUAAGGAAAAAAGAUAGAGUUAAAACAAAUGAAUUACAUAUUCAGGUGCUUAUACUUCUAGUCGAGAAAAGAAAAUAGAAACUUCUGAAGAUGGAAGACAUUAUUUUUGCUGUUUAAGGAAUCUAUGAUAAAAUCCUUUAGAUCUUUCAGAAUUGGCAAUGAAAUAGUGCUCAAAGCUCAAUUGAGCUUUGAUGAUGAACAAAUCUGAACCUCGAUACCAUGGGAGGUCAAGGUGAAGAAGAUAAUGAAUAGAGAGAGAAGAAGAUUC